rnacentral:lncRNA from 1 species
GCUACUUUGUUCCAUAUGUUUGAAUAAUAUGGAAGACAGUGCCGUUCCAUAUGUCAAGUCCGCGUGGUAAGAUGUUUGAAUACAUUAGGCCAACCUGGAUUAAGUGACAGAAGGGGAAGAGUAGCAAUGAAGUCAUCUAGAAUAUAAUACCAAAUGGAGAAUGGUCUGGUAACAAACAAAUACGGAAAAACGUGUAGCGCACAAAGAGCCGGAGCUGGAACCAAAUAGAAAUAAUCCAUCCACACGGCAGUAUAAUGCGAGUCUUUGUUAGUUCAUUUUCAUGCCACACUAGCUGAUCUCUGAUGACCCAUACCUGAUCAACUCACUAACAUUUUCCCUUAUCCCUCACUUUUUCAUGUUCUCCCCGUAAUUGCUUGAUGCCGUGUAAAUUUGGUCCAUCGGACUACUGUCACAGUGACAGUGAGAAGGGCUCCCCAACGAAAGCACCAUGUUAACUCAUGCACAAGAAAAAAAAAAUCCAAGAAAUUCUCACAAUAAUCAGAACAUCUAGUCUUUAAUUUGGUAGACACUGCUAAUAGACAUUAAAUCUAUUGUAAUUUACUCACAGAAAUGAAUGCAACAUGAUUUUAUAUAUCUUCAUAUUAGAUUUCAACAAAAUAUGUUAAAAAAGAUAAAUACUAGAAAUGCUAACUAGAGAUCCUUAAUGGAGGUUCCACUUUAAUCGUCACGAGACAAUAGGAAAACAAAAAUCCUAGCAAUUCUCAUAAAAAUCUAAAACAUUUAACCAUCAAUAAUGUAUAAUCUAAUCACCAUUCAUAUAAUAGGUAUUAGAUCUAUUCUAUUUUCUAAAUAAUUACCCACC